UACGAAGGGGGCUAGCGUUGCUCGGAAUUACUGGGCGUAAAGCGCACGUAGGCGGCUCUUUAAGUCGGGGGUGAAAUCCUGGAGCUCAACUCCAGAACUGCCUUCGAUACUGAAGAGCUUGAGUCCGGGAGAGGUGAGUGGAACUGCGAGUGAAGAGGUGAAAUUCGUAGAUAUUCGCAAGAACACCAGUGGCGAAGGCGGCUCACUGGCCCGGUACUGACGCUGAGGUGCGAAAGCGUGGGGAGCAAACAGG
rnacentral:rRNA from 1 species